rnacentral:rRNA from 1 species
GACGAACGCUGGCGGCGUGCUUAACACAUGCAAGUCGAACGGAAAGGCCUCUUUCGGGGGGUACUCGAGUGGCGAACGGGUGAGUAACACGUGAGUAACCUGCCCUUGACUUUGGGAUAACUUCAGGAAACUGGGGCUAAUACCGGAUAGGAGCUCCUGCUGCAUGGUGGGGGUUGGAAAGUUUCGGCGGUUGGGGAUGGACUCGCGGCUUAUCAGCUUGUUGGUGGGGUAGUGGCUUACCAAGGCUUUGACGGGUAGCCGGCCUGAGGGGGUGACCGGCCACAUUGGGACUUAGAUACGGCCCAGACUCCUACGGGAGGCAGCAGUGGGGAAUAUUGCACAAUGGGUGGAAGCCUGAUGCAGCAACGCCGGGGGCGGGAUGACGGCCUUCGGGUUGUAAACCGCUUUCGCUCAUGACGAAGCUUUGUGUGACGGUAGUGGGUAAAGAAGCACCGGCUAACUACGUG